GAUUGAUGGUGCUUGCACCUGAUUGACGAUGGAUUACCAGUGAGUGGCGGACGGGUGAGUAACACGUAGGUAACCUGCCCCGGAGCGGGGGAUAACAUUUGGAAACAGAUGCUAAUACCGCAUAACAACAAAAGCCACAUGGCUUUUGUUUGAAAGAUGGCUUUGGCUAUCACUCUGGGAUGGACCUGCGGUGCAUUAGCUAGUUGGUAAGGUAACGGCUUACCAAGGCGAUGAUGCAUAGCCGAGUUGAGAGACUGAUCGGCCACAAUGGAACUGAGACACGGUCCAUACUCCUACGGGAGGCAGCAGUAGGGAAUCUUCCACAAUGGGCGCAAGCCUGAUGGAGCAACACCGCGUGAGUGAAGAAGGGUUUCGGCUCGUAAAGCUCUGUUGUUGGAGAAGAACGUGCGUGAGAGUAACUGUUCACGCAGUGACGGUAUCCAACCAGAAAGUCACGGCUAACUACGUGCCAGCAGCCGCGGUAAUACGUAGGUGGCAAGCGUUAUCCGGAUUUAUUGGGCGUAAAGCGAGCGCAGGCGGUUGCUUAGGUCUGAUGUGAAAGCCUUCGGCUUAACCGAAGAAGUGCAUCGGAAACCGGGCGACUUGAGUGCAGAAGAGGACAGUGGAACUCCAUGUGUAGCGGUGGAAUGCGUAGAUAUAUGGAAGAACACCAGUGGCGAAGGCGGCUGUCUGGUCUGCAACUGACGCUGAGGCUCGAAAGCAUGGGUAGCGAACAGGAUUAGAUACCCUGGUAGUCCAUGCCGUAAACGAUGAGUGCUAGGUGUUGGAGGGUUUCCGCCCUUCAGUGCCGGAGCUAACGCAUUAAGCACUCCGCCUGGGGAGUACGACCGCAAGGUUGAAACUCAAAGGAAUUGACGGGGGCCCGCACAAGCGGUGGAGCAUGUGGUUUAAUUCGAAGCUACGCGAAGAACCUUACCAGGUCUUGACAUCUUGCGCUAACCUUAGAGAUAAGGCGUUCCCUUCGGGGACGCAAUGACAGGUGGUGCAUGGUCGUCGUCAGCUCGUGUCGUGAGAUGUUGGGUUAAGUCCCGCAACGAGCGCAACCCUUGUUACUAGUUGCCAGCAUUAAGUUGGGCACUCUAGUGAGACUGCCGGUGACAAACCGGAGGAAGGUGGGGACGACGUCAGAUCAUCAUGCCCCUUAUGACCUGGGCUACACACGUGCUACAAUGGACGGUACAACGAGUCGCAAGCUCGCGAGAGUAAGCUAAUCUCUUAAAGCCGUUCUCAGUUCGGACUGUAGGCUGCAACUCGCCUACACGAAGUCGGAAUCGCUAGUAAUCGCGGAUCAGCAUGCCGCGGUGAAUACGUUCCCGGGCCUUGUACACACCGCCCGUCACACC
rnacentral:rRNA from 2 species